rnacentral:rRNA from 1 species
AUUGAACGCUGGCGGCAGGCUUAACACAUGCAAGUCGAGCGGAGCGAGGGUGCUUGCACCUUAGCUUAGCGGCGGACGGGUGAGUAAUGCUUAGGAAUCUGCCUAUUAGUGGGGGACAACAUUCCGAAAGGAAUGCUAAUACCGCAUACGCCCUACGGGGGAAAGCAGGGGAUCUUCGGACCUUGCACUAAUAGAUGAGCCUAAGUCGGAUUAGCUAGUUGGUGGGGUAAAGGCCUACCAAGGCGACGAUCUGUAGCGGGUCUGAGAGGAUGGUCCGCCACACUGGGACUGAGACACGGCCCAGACUCCUACGGGAGGCAGCAGUGGGGAAUAUUGGACAAUGGGCGGAAGCCUGAUCCAGCCAUGCCGCGUGUGUGAAGAAGGCCUUUUGGUUGUAAAGCACUUUAAGCGAGGAGGAGGCUCUUAAGGUUAAUACCCUUGAUGAGUGGACGUUACUCGCAGAAUAAGCACCGGCUAACUCUGUGCCAGCCGCCGCAGUAAAAC